AAAAUAUAUUUUUGAUUUUUAUAGUUCUCAAAUUAAUUUUAAUUUUGAAAAAAAAAACAAAAAAUUAUUUUUAUUUUUCUUUUUUGGGUGAUCUGCCUCUAAAAAUUGAGGCGAUGGUACCUCUUAAAAUUUCCUCUUUUUUUCUAAGAUAGGUAAACCCUUCUUUUGUUCUCUAAUUUAUCUCUCUCUCUCUCUCUCUCUCUCUCUCUCUCUCUCUCUUUCUCUCUCUUUCGUUCUGGAAAAACACACAAAUGAGUUCAGAGAAUACAAUCAAGACCCUUUCUCAAUCUCUCUGCAAAUUCGUGGACUUCUCUAAUGGCGAGAUCCAAUCAAGAAGCAAUCGAGACCUUCAUGAGCAUCACCGGCCCGUCCGAGUCAGUCGCCUUGCAAAAACUCGAGCUUUCUGCUUUGUUUUCUGACAAAGGACUUUACAUCCGUGAGGCACACGUGUUCUCAACUACUGGUGGUUAUUCUUUGGAUGUAUUUGUGGUGGAUGGAUGGCCUGUUGAGGAUACAAAGGGAUUAUGUGAAGCUAUGGACAAAGCAAUUGCUAGAAAUGAGAGAUCCAAUUCGAUAAGCAUGGGAAGAUCUCUGGAGCUGCAGUUCGAACAUAUCUUCUUGAAAGAUCGCGUGUUUGCCAAGUCUCUGACCCAGAGAGGAACUACCACUGCUUUUACAUGCUCUGUGCAGCCCCACCUGAAGAUGCAAAGAAAUUCAAACUAGGAGACCCAAAAACAUACCACUAUCUAAAUCAAACCAAUUGUUAUGAAGUGGCAAAUGUGGAUGAUGCAAGGGAAUAUCUGGAGACCAGAAAUGCCAUGGAUAUUGUAGGAAUCAGCUAGGACGAGCAGAUGCGUGUGUGUGAUGCUAUAUUCCGUGUGGUAGCUGCAAUACUUCAUCUUGGAAACAUUGACUUCGUCAAAAGGAAUGAAACAAAUUCUU